rnacentral:rRNA from 1 species
CAUGCAGUCGAACGAUGAACCACUUCGGUGGGGAUUAGUGGCGAACGGGUGAGUAACACGUGGGCAAUCUGCCCUUCACUCUGGGACAAGCCCUGGAAACGGGGUCUAAUACCGGAUACGACACUCUCGGGCAUCCGAUGAGUGUGGAAAGCUCCGGCGGUGAAGGAUGAGCCCGCGGCCUAUCAGCUUGUUGGUGAGGUAACGGCUCACCAAGGCGACGACGGGUAGCCGGCCUGAGAGGGCGACCGGCCACACUGGGACUGAGACACGGCCCAGACUCCUACGGGAGGCAGCAGUGGGGAAUAUUGCACAAUGGGCGAAAGCCUGAUGCAGCGACGCCGCGUGAGGGAUGACGGCCUUCGGGUUGUAAACCUCUUUCAGCAGGGAAGAAGCGAAAGUGACGGUACCUGCAGAAGAAGCGCCGGCUAACUACGUGCCAGCAGCCGCGGUAAUACGUAGGGCGCGAGCGUUGUCCGGAAUUAUUGGGCGUAAAGAGCUCGUAGGCGGUCUGUCGCGUCGGAUGUGAAAGCCCGGGGCUUAACCCCGGGUCUGCAUUCGAUACGGGCAGACUAGAGUGUGGUAGGGGAGAUCGGAAUUCCUGGUGUAGCGGUGAAAUGCGCAGAUGUCACGAGGAACACCGGUCGCGAACGCGGAUCUCUGGGCCAUUACUGACGCU